rnacentral:rRNA from 1 species
GCAGGGAAUAUUGCACAAUGGGCGAAAGCCUGAUGCAGCAACGCCGCGUGAGGGAUGAAGGUCUUCGGAUUGUAAACCUCUUUUCUAGGAGACGAGAAGGGACGGUACCCUAGGAAUAAGCAACGGCUAACUACGUGCCAGCAGCCGCGGUAAUACGUAGGUUGCAAGCGUUAUUCGGAUUUACUGGGCGUAAAGCGCACCGAGGUGGCUUCUUAAGUUGGAUGUGAAAUCUCUUGGCUUAACUAAGAGGGUGCAUUCAAGACUGAGGAGCUUGAGACCGGUAGGGGAAAGUGGAAUUCCCGGUGUAGUGGUGGAAUGCGUAGAGAUCGGGAGGAACACCAGUGGCGAAAGCGGCUUUCUGGACCGCGUCUGACACUCUAGUGCGAAAGCGUGGGUAGCAAACAGGAUUAGAAACCCCGGUAGUCC